rnacentral:rRNA from 1 species
GACGAACGCUGGCGGCGUGCCUAACACAUGCAAGUCGAACGGAAGUUAGAGCUUCGGUUUUAACUUUAGUGGCGAACGGGUGAGUAACGCGUGAGAAACCUGCCUUUCAGUGGGGGACAGCAGUUGGAAACGACUGCUAAUACCGCAUAAUGUUAUUGGGGCAUCCCCGAAUAACCAAAGAUUUAUUGCUGAAAGAUGGUCUCGCGUCUGAUUAGCUAGUUGGUGAGGUAACGGCUCACCAAGGCGACGAUCAGUAGCCGGUCUGAGAGGAUGAACGGCCACAUUGGGACUGAGAUACGGCCCAGACUCCUACGGGAGGCAGCAGUCGGGAAUAUUGCGCAAUGGAGGAAACUCUGACGCAGUGACGCCGCGUAUAGGAAGAAGGUUUUCGGAUUGUAAACUAUUGUAGACAGGGAAGAUACAAGACAGUACCUGUAAAGUAAGCCCCGGCUAACUAUGUG